GAUGAACGCUGGCGGCGUGCUUAACACAUGCAAGUCGAACGGAAAGGCCCGAGCUUGCUUGGGUACUCGAGUGGCGAACGGGUGAGUAACACGUGGGUGAUCUGCCCUGCACUUCGGGAUAAGCCUGGGAAACUGGGUCUAAUACCGGAUAGGACCACUUCUUGGAUGUUGUGGUGGAAAGUUUUUUCGGUGUGGGAUGAGCUCGCGGCCUAUCCGCUUGUUGGUGGGGUAAUGGCCUACCAAGGCGUCGACGGGUAGCCGGCCUGAGAGGGUGUACGGCCACAUUGGGACUGAGAUACGGCCCAGACUCCUACGGGAGGCAGCAGUGGGGAAUGUUGCACAAUGGGCGCAAGCCUGAUGCAGCGACGCCGCGUGGGGGAUGACGGCCUUCGGGUUGUAAACUCCUUUCGCUAGGGACGAAGCGUUUUGUGACGGUACCUGGAGAAGAAGCACCGGCUAACUACGUG
rnacentral:rRNA from 1 species